rnacentral:rRNA from 1 species
AACGAACGCUGGCGGCAGGCUUAACACAUGCAAGUCGAACGGUUGUAGCAAUACAGCAGUGGCAGACGGGUGAGUAACACGUGGGAACCUUCCUAGGGGUACGGAACAACUCAGGGAAACUUGAGCUAAUACCGUAUACGUCCGUGAGGAGAAAGAUUUAUCGCCCUUAGACGGGCCCGCGCCGGAUUAGCUAGUUGGUGGGGUAACGGCCUACCAAGGCGACGAUCCGUAGCUGAUCUUAGAGGAUGAUCAGCCACACUGGGACUGAGACACGGCCCAGACUCCGACGGGAGGCAGCAGUGGGGAAUCUUGGACAAUGGGCGCAAGCCUGAUCCAGCCAUGCCGCGUGAGUGAAGAAGGUCUUCGGAUUGUAAAGCUCUUUUACCAGGGACGAUAAUGACGGUACCUGGAGAAUAAGCCCCGGCAAACUUCGUGCCAGCCGCCGCCGUAACAC